rnacentral:rRNA from 1 species
UUAUAACUUAAAAUAAAUAUUGAAUAGUAAAAUCUAUAGAUUAAAACUCAAAGAAUUUGGCGGUGUUUUAUAUAAUCAGGGGAACCUGUCAUUUAAACGAUAAUCCACGAUAACUAACCUAUUUUAGAAAUUUCAGCCUGUGUACUGCCGUCGUAAGUAAACCUUUAAAAGAAAGAAUACAAUAAUAUAUAAUCAUAUGUACGUCAGGUCAAAGUGCAGCUAAUAAAUAGGUAUAGAUGGGUUACAAUCCAAAUAUAUGGAUGCCAACUAAUAUUUAACAAUAUAUAUAAGAUGGACUUGUUUGUAAUAAUAAAUUAAUAUUAUGAAAAUAAUCUAAAACAUGCACACAUCGCCCGUCACUCUCCUCGAAAGAGG